UGAGCUGGUGGGCCAGGCCGAAGCUCCGGCCGCUCUUGACGGCCGACAGCUGGGCGAUGGCCUGGCGCUGCGUCACGGCGGCCAGCGAGGC
rnacentral:tRNA from 1 species